rnacentral:rRNA from 1 species
UACGAAGGGGGCUAGCGUUGCUCGGAAUGACUGGGCGUAAAGGGCGCGUAGGCGGCUUGCACCGUCAGAUGUGAAAUUCCUGGGCUUAACCUGGGGGCUGCAUUUGAUACUGUCGGACUAGAGUACAGAAGGGGCAACUGGAAUUCUCGGUGUAGCGGUGAAAUGCGUAGAUAUCGAGAGGAACACCUGCGGCGAAGGCGGGUUGCUGGGCUGAUACUGACGCUGAGGCGCGAAAGCCAGGGGAGCGAACGGG